rnacentral:rRNA from 1 species
GAUGAACGCUGGCGGCGUGCCUAAUACAUGCAAGUCGAGCGAACGGACGAGAAGCUUGCUUUUCUGAUGUUAGCGGCGGACGGGUGAGUAACACGUGGAUAACCUACCUAUAAGACUGGGAUAACUUCGGGAAACCGGAGCUAAUACCGGAUAAUAUUUUGAACCGCAUGGUUCAAAAGUGAAAGACGGUCUUGCUGUCACUUAUAGAUGGAUCCGCGCUGCAUUGGCUAGUUGGUAAGGUAACGGCUUACCAAGGCAACGAUGCAUAGCCGACCUGAGAGGGUGAUCGGCCACACUGGAAUUGAGACACGGUCCAGACUCCUACGGGAGGCAGCAGUAGGGAAUCUUCCGCAAUGGGCGAAAGCCUGACGGAGCAACGCCGCGUGAGUGAUGAAGGUCUUCGGAUCGUAAAACUCUGUUAUUAGGGAAGAACAUAUGUGUAAGUAACUGUGCACAUCUUGACGGUACCUAAUCAGAAAGCCACGGCUAACUACGUG